AGGUGUUCACGGAUAAUGAAGCUGAUGUGAGAGCCCUGGAGAGAAACAUCAGUCAAAGGCAUGCAGGGAAUCCCAUCCAGCGUCCCUCUACUCUCCUCUGCAGCUUCCAUGGUUGGAAUGCUGAGCCAUUGCUAGGACGAUGAGGCUACAGGAAAGUGAAAUGCACCUGCUGCGAUCUGAUCCAACUGACCACUCCUGCUGCUCCUCCCUUGCACCUCAGGCAUCUCCUUCCAAUCUGGAGGAAACACUUUUACCUCCACUUUUCUUUUACAGUCCUCCAAACUCUGUUCCUUCUAGGGAGCACAAGUACAGAAAUAGAAACCUGGACUCCCAUCAUCCUGCUUCACAAACUUACAAUGUUAAAGAAAGAAAAAAAAAAAGACCAAGUACAUUACCUGGUAGAAUUGGAGAGAUGGGCACGAAAGAGCUGUAAAUACAGUUAGAAAACACACUAGCAUUUACAAAUGUGUAUGAGAAACAAUGAGGAGGAUUUUCAGAGACUAUCAUAACCAUUUAUUUUUCUAAUAUGUGAUAAGUAAACGCACAGAAAAUCAAUUUAAUAUUUGGGGCUUUUAUUUCUCAUUUUUUAGAUUGCCAGAAAGACUGUCCAGUGUUAUAAAGUUUGUGUCAAUAUUCUGGAAUUGGCAAUUUUGUCAUUUAUAUGGGAGAAAUAGCUAAAGGUGUAGUAUAAAGUAUUUGCUCGUAGGUAAUGGAAUGUUACCUUUACCCAAAGAUAUAAAAAAUAAACGGUAGAACAAAAACUC
rnacentral:lncRNA from 1 species